UUCCCUGCCUUUUUUGAAUAUCAAUCAUUCAGAACUUUAUUUAUUUGUUUAUUUAUAUAUCACCCACCCACUUCCCUCAGACCUCAGCUUGGGCUAGAACCUGACACUUGGUGUGACAUCUGCCUACCAUUAUAAACCUCUUCUGUUAGUUAAAUCACUGGGAACAGUAGCCCACAGUAAAAGAUUAAUAUAUUUCCUUGUCCUCACCCAAAUCUCAUCUCGAAUUGUAAUCCCCGCGAGUCAAGGAAGGAACCUGUAAUCCCCACCUGUCGAGGGAGGGAGGCAAUUGGAUCACGGGGGCAGAUUCUGCCAUGCUGUUCUCAUGAUAGUGAGGGAGUUCUCACAAGAUCUAAUGGUUUUAAAAGUGUGGCAUUGGCUGGGCGUGGUGGUUCAUGCCUGUAAUCCCAGCAUUUUGGGAGGCUGAGGCGGCUGGAUCACCUGA
rnacentral:lncRNA from 1 species